rnacentral:snRNA from 1 species
AUCGCUUCUCGGCCUUUUGGCUAAGAUCAAGUGUAGUAUCUGUUCUUAUCAGUUUAAAAAGAUUGUGCAUUCAUUUUGUUUGUAUCUCCAAGCCUUC